UACGAAGGGUGCAAGCGUUACUCGGAAUUACUGGGCGUAAAGCGUGCGUAGGUGGUUUGUUAAGUCUGAUGUGAAAGCCCUGGGCUCAACCUGGGAAUUGCAUUGGAUACUGGCAGGCUAGAGUGCGGUAGAGGAUGGCGGAAUUCCCGGUGUAGCAGUGAAAUGCGUAGAGAUCGGGAGGAACAUCUGUGGCGAAGGCAGGUUACUGGUACGCAACUGACGCUGAGGCACGAAAGCGUGGGGAGCAAACAGG
rnacentral:rRNA from 1 species